GAAAAUUUUUCUUGAAAUUGUUCCUGUUAAAGGAAUAAAUACUGUAAGGUUUGAAAACCAACAAUGUAUAAUGUGAUACAGUUANUAGAAACUUACAUGGGUCCGCNUAGACCUUUCAUCCACAAANUCCCCUGUUGAUUGACGAAUAUGUGUUUGUUGAAAUAUUUCAUCAACAUGCACAGCCCGACCAAGCUCUUGUGACUGCAAACAAAAUGAGUUGUUAAUAAAUAUUUGUAAAGUUUAUGAUUACAAAUUUCAGAAAUAAAAUGUACAAGUUACAUACCAAACGGAUAGCAUGCUCAUGCACGCUAAUAGAUCCUCUAGUGUGUAAACAACCACCCUUUUCAGAUGUCCGAUUCUUCUUAGCUAUUUCACACUUUUGUCUAUAUAGUGGCAUGUUCCACUUUUCCAGAAGAGCAUUCCAAGUAUCAUCCCCCAGCCAAUUAGGUUUGUUUCCUAGAGUUCUAGCUUUUUUAUACAUCUCUGAGAGUCUAUG
rnacentral:lncRNA from 1 species